GAAAAAGGAUGUGAUUCAGACUCUAAUGAAGAGUCUGCCGAAGAGUGUAACGAAGCGUCAGACGAAGAGGUUGAAAUAUUCGAAAAUACUAGAACAUCUGACAGUGAAACUGACAACAUAGAAAAUUCCAGUUCGGUCUCGCUAAGGGCAUUCGAGUCAUUUGAAAGAAAAAAACAAAAGGAUUUUCAUUCCAAUAGACAAGAAACCAAAACUCAAACUAUUAAGAAAUCUUUCAAAAAACCGAAGAUUACAAGCGAAACAAUAUUGGAACCGCCGUUACUUAUAAAAA